UAGUCCACACCGUAAACGAUGAGAGCUAGUUGUCUGCAAGCAUGCUUGUAGGUGACGCAGCUAACGCAUUAAGCUCUCCGCCUGGGGAGUACGGUCGCAAGAUUAAAACUCAAAGAAAUUGACGGGGGCCCGCACAAGCGGUGGAGCAUGUGGUUUAAUUCGAAGCAACGCGCAGAACCUUACCUACCCUUGACAUGCCGGUCGCGAUUUCCAGAGAUGGAUUUCUUCAAUUCGGUUGGACCGUGCACAGGUGCUGCAUGGCCGUCGUCAGCUCGUGUCGUGAGAUGUUGGGUUAAGUCCCGCAACGAGCGCAACCCUCACUUUUAGCUGCCAGCAUUUAGUUGGGCACUCUAGAAGAACUGCCGGUGCUAAGCCGGAGGAAGGUGGGGAUGACGUCAGGUCCUCAUGGCCCUUACGCUCUGGGCUACACACGUGCUACAAUGGUCGUGACAAAGAGUUGCUAGUCUGCGAAGGCAAGCC
rnacentral:rRNA from 1 species